rnacentral:rRNA from 1 species
CCUACGGGAGGCAGCAGUAGGGAAUUUUCCACAAUGGGCGAAAGCCUGAUGGAGCAACGCCGCGUGGGUGAAGAAGGUCUUCGGAUCGUAAAACCCUGUUGUUAGAGAAGAAAGUGCGUGAGAGUAACUGUUCACGUUUCGACGGUAUCUAACCAGAAAGCCACGGCUAACUACGUGCCAGCAGCCGCGGUAAUACGUAGGUGGCAAGCGUUAUCCGGAUUUAUUGGGCGUAAAGGGAACGCAGGCGGUCUUUUAAGUCUGAUGUGAAAGCCUUCGGCUUAACCGGAGUAGUGCAUUGGAAACUGGGAGACUUGAGUGCAGAAGAGGAGAGUGGAACUCCAUGUGUAGCGGUGAAAUGCGUAGAUAUAUGGAAGAACACCAGUGGCGAAAGCGGCUCUCUGGGCUGUAACUGACGCUGAGGUUCGAAAGCGUGGGUAGCAAACAGGAUUAGAUACCCGAGUAGUC